UAACAAGGAUUCCCCUAGUAACUGCGAGUGAAGCGGGAAGAGCUCAAAUUUAAAAUCUGGCGGUCUUCUGGCCGUCCGAGUUGUAGUCUGGAGAAGUGUUAUCCGCGUCGGACCGUGUACAAGUCUCCUGGAACGGAGCGUCAUAGAGGGUGAGAAUCCCGUCCAUGGCACGGACGCCCGAUGCUUUGUGAGGCACUCUCAAAGAGUCGAGUUGUUUGGGAAUGCAGCUCAAAAUGGGUGGUAAAUUCCAUCUAAAGCUAAAUAUUGGCGAGAGACCGAUAGCGAACAAGUACCGUGAGGGAAAGAUGAAAAGCACUUUGGAAAGAGAGUUAAACAGUACGUGAAAUUGUUGAAAGGGAAACGCUUGAAGUCAGUCGCGUCCCGUGGAACUCAGCCUGGUCUCGGCCUGGUGUACUUUCCAUGUUGGACGGGUCAACAUCAAUUUUGGCCGGUGGAGAAAGGCRAGGGGAAUGUAGCGUUGCUUCGGCGGCGUGUUAUAGCCCCUCGUUGGAUACGCCGGCUGGGAUUGAGGAUCGCAGCACGCCCUUGUGGCCGGGGCAUUUCGCCCACGUAAGGUGCUUAGGAUGUUGGCAUAAUGGCUUUAAGCGACCCGUCUUGAAACACGGACCAAGGAGUCUAACAUGCUUGCGAGUGUUCGGGUGGAAAACCCUUGCGCGUAAUGAAAGUGAAAGUUGGGAACCUCCGCGAGGGGGUGCACCGACGCCCGGCCCUGACGUUCUCUGACGGUGCUGCGGUAGAGCAAGUAUGUUGGGACCCGAAAGAUGGUGAACUAUGCCUGAAUAGGGCGAAGCCAGAGGAAACUCUGGUGGAGGCUCGUAGCGAUUCUGACGUGCAAAUCGAUCGUCAAAUUUGGG
rnacentral:rRNA from 1 species